GCCAGGCAUGGUGGCUCAUGCCUGUAAUUCCAGCAUUUCGGGAGGCUGAGGCAGGAGGAUCACUUGAGGCCAGGAGUGCAAGACCAGCCUGGCCAACAGAGAGAGACCCUGUCUCUA
rnacentral:SRP_RNA from 1 species